rnacentral:tRNA from 1 species
GGGCGGUUAGCUCAGCGGUAGAGCAUUGUCCUCACACGGCAGGGGUCACUGGUUCGAUCCCAGUAUCGCCCACCA